rnacentral:rRNA from 1 species
AUUGAACGCUGGCGGCAGGCUUAACACAUGCAAGUCGAGCGAGCGGCGGACGGGUGAGUAAUGUCUGGGAAACUGCCUGAUGGAGGGGGAUAACUACUGGAAACGGUAGCUAAUACCGCAUACCAUCAGAUGUGCCCAGAUGGGAUUAGCGAGUAGGUGGGGUAAUGGCUCACCUAGGCGACGAUCCCUAGCUGGUCUGAGAGGAUGACCGGCCAACCUGGAACUGGGACACGGUCCAUGCUCCUCAGGGAGGCAGCAGGGGGGAAUAUUGCGCAAUGGGCGCAAGCCGUAUGCAGCCAUGCCGCGUGUGUGAAGAAGGCCUUCGGGUUGUAAAGCUCUUUCAGCAAGGAGGCGUUACUCGCAGAAGAAGCACCGGCUAACUCCGUGCCAGCAGCCGCGGUAAUUC